ensembl:snoRNA SNORA72 Small nucleolar RNA SNORA72
CUGCGCAUAUUCUCGCUGUUCUGAUUUUGGGAUAAUCAGGGCAGACUAAACGUUUGCUAUACUGAGACCAUUCACAGAUCUCCAACCUAGUUCUUUGCUUACCCAGGGCUGCUGGUCUUAGAAACGAUGGUGAUAAAU